CGAAAGCCUGACGGAGCAACGCCGCGUGAGGGAUGAAGGCCUCUGGGCUGUAAACCUCUUUUAUCAAGGAAGAAGAUCUGACGGUACUUGAUGAAUAAGCCACGGCUAAUUCCGUGCCAGCAGCCGCGGUAAUACGGGAGUGGCAAGCGUUAUCCGGAAUUAUUGGGCGUAAAGCGUCCGCAGGCGGUUUUGAAAGUCUGUUGUUAAAGCGUGGAGCUUAACUCCAUUUCAGCAAUGGAAACUACAAGACUAGAGUGUGGUAGGGGCAGAGGGAAUUCCCGGUGUAGCGGUGAAAUGCGUAGAUAUCGGGAAGAACACCAGUG
rnacentral:rRNA from 1 species